rnacentral:piRNA from 1 species
UACAAAUUGUGUACUGGGGGGCUGG